rnacentral:rRNA from 1 species
AUACGUAGGUGGCAAGCGUUGUCCGGAAUUAUUGGGCGUAAAGAGCGCGUAGGCGGGAAGAGAAGUCUACUUUAAAAGUGCGGGGCUCACCCCCGUGAUGGGGUAGAAACUCUCUUUCUUGAGUGCCGGAGAGGAAAGCGGAAUUCCCAGUGUAGCGGUGAAAUGCGUAGAUAUUGGGAGGAACACCAGUGGCGAAGGCGGCUUUCUGGACGGUGUCUGACGCUGAGGCGCGAAAGCCAGGGGAGCGAACGGGAUUAGAUACCCCGGUAGUCCUGGCCGUAAACGAUGGGUACUAGGUGUGGGAGGUAUCGACCCCUUCCGUGCCGGAGUUAACGCAAUAAGUACCCCGCCUGGGGAGUACGGCCGCAAGGUUGA